CGUUGUUGAUCGGCAAGAUUGGUGGGAUCAAAUGCAAAGAGUGCUAGAUGGAGACGGAAUAUAGGGAAAAAGGAGGGUUAAGGCUUGAAGUCUCUGUCAUGGAAACUAGAGCUGCAGGAUUAAAGUUAAUUGACAGUAUCAAUAAAUAUUUCUUGGUACAUUUGAUUCAAAAGCAUCACUUGAUGUUCCGAAUCACCCAAUUUUGAACUUGAUUUACUACAUGCUAGUUGAGAUCAUGCCUUCAGCUUUAGUCCUUUUCAUCCUGCGCACAUUACCCCCAAAGAGGAUAUCAGUUCGGUAUCAUCUUGUCCAGUAACAACAGUGCUUUUGGGAUUUUUGUUUAGUCUUUGCCAUUGGCCAUGAUUGUGCUGGUUCUCUAGUUGGAUGCUAUUGAAGUUCGGCAGAUUCAGAGAAGCAAUAGUCCACCAGAUAUGUCAACCCCUGGGAAACACAGAAGCUACUUCUUGAGACUGAUAAUUUGGAUUUAUUUUUCUAGGCGCG